rnacentral:rRNA from 1 species
GUAAUGCUUAGGAAUCUGCCUAUUAGUGGGGGACAACAUCUCGAAAGGGAUGCUAAUACCGCAUACGUCCUACGGGAGAAAGCAGGGGACCUUCGGGCCUUGCGCUAAUAGAUGAGCCUAAGUCGGAUUAGCUAGUUGGUGGGGUAAAGGCCUACCAAGGCGACGAUCUGUAGCGGGUCUGAGAGGAUGAUCCGCCACACUGGGACUGAGACACGGCCCAGACUCCUACGGGAGGCAGCAGUGGGGAAUAUUGGACAAUGGGGGGAACCCUGAUCCAGCCAUGCCGCGUGUGUGAAGAAGGCCUUUUGGUUGUAAAGCACUUUAAGCGAGGAGGAGGCUACCGAGAUUAAUACUCUUGGAUAGUGGACGUUACUCGCAGAAUAAGCACCGGCUAACUCUGUGCCAGCAGCCGCGGUAAUACAGAGGGUGCAAGCGUUAAUCGGAUUUACUGGGCGUAAAGCGCGCGUAGGUGGCCAAUUAAGUCAAAUGUGAAAUCCCCGAGCUUAACUCGGGAAUUGCAUUCGAUACUGGUUGGCUAGAGUAUGGGAGAGGAUGGUAGAAUUCCAGGUGUAGCGGUGAAAUGCGUAGAGAUCUGGAGGAAUACCGAUGGCGAAGGCAGCCAUCUGGCCUAAUACUGACACUGAGGUG